rnacentral:lncRNA from 1 species
AGAUGAUAAAGCUUAUCUACCCCAAAUAUCUAUUCAAGGGUGGAGGAAAAAAACCAUAGGAUGGAAUCACAGAGUUGCUGACCCUACUGUGAGACACAUGUGGGCCAAAUUUGGAUAAACAAUCGUUGUUACCAGGGGAGCCAGUUCAAGGUUCUCGGUAUCCCAAAUAAUUGAGCAGAAUACUCAGGAGUAACCAGAGGAAGGUUGACUAAAAGUGAAAGUACACUUCCCAGGGUGGGAGCCGGCCAGAGAAAAGAGCUCAGGGCUCCAGUAGGGGCAGGCAACUCCAUCUCUUCAAGUCUGGGAUUAUAGGGGCCGGAGAUGUAGCUCAGUGGCACCGCACCUGCCUGACAAGCGAAAGGGCGAAUCUGAUCACCAAACUCAUUCCGGGCAAGACGCACCCAUCUGUUCAACUGCCAGACACGGCUCCCAGCACUCUCAGCGGGUAAUCUCCAGAUCUCCAUCCGAUCGUCCUACAGACUCCCCCAGGGAUGCUCUUGUUUGCUCAAGUCUGAGUCCCCCAACACCCUCAUUCCCAUCACCACCCUCUUUGAACUCCAGAACGCGUUCCUCAGCCUUUGCUGAGAACCUCUGAAUUUGCUCUUAGCUGCAUUAAAGACAACCGAAUCGACUGGCUCUCCCAAGCAACUCUUUCCUUUAGCAAAG